GGACUCGGCUUGUUGAGUGCACACAACAAGAGGCGAGGC
rfam:Simian immunodeficiency virus isolate SIVcpzCAM13, complete genome.